GAUCAGAAGGCUAAAUGUGACACUUUUAUUCAAUUUACACUUACAUUUAGUUGUGUUAAAUUAGGUAAAUAAUAAACUAACUAACCUAAACUGUAUGUUGACCAUUACAGAUGUGUGACGUAUCAUCUCACCUCAGCGACCACAGCUACUGGAGGACGGUGCCCAGCAGGAGACGGGACGCCACCAACCAGGCAGCUGACCCACUGACUGUUUGUCCUCCUGCUGGUCUGGAUGCGCUGCCUGGAUGAAGAUGUAUCGUCGUGGCGAUCGUGCGUUUGGUCCCACCUCGGUCCGCGCGUUACACUAAGCCAUCAGCUUCGGAGGGCACAAAGCGUAAGAGGGAGAGCAGCUCUGCCGACCACGAGGAGCCCCCGGAGAAGAAACUCCGUGUGUCUGCGCCCGUGCUGCCGGAGCGGAGCCCCAGCCCUCAGCCCUCCACCUCUUCACAGAGCAGCCUGGAGGUGAGUGGUCCUACUGUGUCCCACACAUCUAUCCCACACUGCACCAGUGUAAAGGGUGUAGCUGAACCCCCACCUCCCUCUCUCUGUCUGUGUGUCUGAAGGAGGUCCAGCAGCCUGAGGACGACGUUGAGUACGAUGACGUCAUGGCCUUGCCCCUCUUCCCCGCCCCCUACGAGUCCCAGCCCGGUCUCUCCCCUUUUGAGGUGCUGUCGCAGAUCGUCAUGGACUGGCUGACUGACUCUCCGUACAACCCGGAGCUGUGACAGUACCACACACACACACACACA